GUCUCAGGGCCAGCGCUUAAUUAGGGGCGGGGCUUAAUUAGGGGCGAAACGGGAAGCAGAUGCGGCGCAAUGCAGCAUCAUUUCUGAGGCUGAAGGAGCAGUUGACAUUUGAAAUGUCUAUUAUCUUCAAGGAAGCCUCGCCUCCCUAAAGAGAGAGUUUAUUCUCUCCACGGUGGUCAGGGCAGUCUGAAAGAAAAUGACCAACGGAAUACGAUGAACUGAUGGCACGUGACUUCUUCCAAGGUGAGGCCGUAAAAGACACGGAAGUUUCUGCUUUGGCCUCUUGAAUCACUUUCUCUGGGGGAAACCAGCUACUGGGUCAUAAGGACACUCAGGCAGCCCCAUAGCGGGGCCCAAGUGGAGAGAAACCACUUGCCAGCAUUAACUUGAUAGUCAUGAGUUGUGUGAAUGAGUGGAUCCUACCAUCCUGGUCAAACCUUUGAUAACCGAAGGCCCCACCUAUAUUUGACUGCAGUCUUCCGAGAGACCCCCAAGCUGCUCUAGAAUUCCUGACCUACAGAAACUGUGAGGGAUAAUAUAUGUUUGUUGUUUUAAGCCAGUACAUUUUGGAAUGAUUUGCUACACAGCAAUAUACAACGAAUACACAGGUCAUCACAGGUAAUAUUUUUAUUAAAUAGUUGUAUGGCUCAAACCUGGGUCUGCAUCUUUGUAGGCUUUGAUUUUUGUUUCUUUACCACUCACUGACUGUUAAGCCACAUAUUUUAGGUUUUUGUUACAAUCACACCUAACCUCAAUGUACCCUUUGGUUAGGUGUGUAAUAGAUAAUGCUAGACACUAGAACAGAUUAAAUCUUGACAUCUGAGUGGAUUAAUACAAUAAACGUUUAUUUUUCAUUUCA